rnacentral:rRNA from 1 species
UGGCGACCGGCGCACGGGUGAGUAACACGUAUCCAACCUGCCGUCUACUCUUGGACAGCCUUCCGAAAGGAAGAUUAAUACAAGAUGGCAUCAUGAGUCCGCAUGUUCACAUGAUUAAAGGUAUUCCGGUAGACGAUGGGGAUGCGUUCCAUUAGUUUGUUGGCGGGGUAACGGCCCACCUAGUCUUCGAUGGAUAGGGGUUCUGAGAGGAAGGUCCCCCACAUUGGAACUGAGACACGGUCCAAACUCCUACGGGAGGCAGCAUG